ensembl:lncRNA
CUCUAUGGGCUCUGUGGGCUUCUAUGGGGCUCUAUGGGGCUCUAUGGGGCUCUAUGGGGCGGCUAUGGGGCUCUAUGGGGCUCUAUGGGGCUCUAUGGGGCUCUAUGGGGCUCUAGGGGCGGCUAUGGGGCUCUAUGGGGCUCUAUGGGGCUCUAUGGGCGGCUAUGGGGCUCUAUGCGGCUCUAUGGGGCUCUAUGGGGCGGCUAUGGGGCUCUACGGGGCUCUAUGGGGCUCUAUGGGGCUCUAUGGGCGGCUAUGGGGCU